GCUCAGGAGGCUGCUGCCUCACCGCUCGUCUCUACUUAGUAUUUGAACGGUAAAUGUGAAAAUUCAGCGAUUUUGAAAAAAAAAAAUCAAAAAAUGGUGAAGUUAAAUGGAGAAGAACUUUAAAGUACAAAUCACUAAAUAAAUAUAACUGUUUAUUUUUUAAUUUGAUAUUUCCGUGAUGACAGGUGAGGCACGGCCUCACCUGUCUCCCGUGACUGCACGUCACUGCAGUAGAUUGUAUAUAAAGAGGACAGAAGCAGUGUAGGGAGAAGCUGAAAAAGCUCAAAAGUGACCAUCGGUCCACCCAGGACCACAACGGCCGGCGUGGGUCAACCAGGAGGUGUUGGAAGAGGUUUAAUGGAAGCUAUUUACUGGCACCACACCGCCAGCAACAGGAGGGAGACUCAGCCGCUGCAUUGUUGGAGACGUUGGAGGGCGAAUCCCUUUCCACAUGCGAAGCCUACUCCACCUCCGUCGCGGAGCCCCCGGCUCCCCUGCCUCCUCUCCACCAGCUGCAGCGGCUCCUCUCCAGCACCAGCUCGGACACCGACACCAGCACGUCACAGCAACGUCUUAUCACUGGCAAGAGGAAAGGGGGCCACAGAAAAUUGGACCUUCCUAGCGUACUUGUGGAGAUGCAGGCUGAGGAGGAGCGGAGUCAUGCCCAGCAUGAUGAGAACAUCUGGUUGCUCCUCAGCGAGGCAAGAGAGAAUGAAGCGGCCUUGCAGCGGGAGGAGAUGGCCCAGAAUGCUGCCUUCAACCAGUCAUUCCUGGGUGUGCUGGGGCAGCUGGGUAGGCAGUGGGCAGCCGGCGAGUGUGAGCGAGUCCACCUCCCAUAGACUUGAGAUUUACAAGUGCUGGUUAUAUAAUUAGAAUAUCAUGAAAAUGCUCGUCUUUUGGACAACUGUCAGGUCAGCAGUCUUCCCCAUGAUUGUGUAGCCUACAGAACUAGGCUGAGAGACCAUUUAAAGGCCUUUGCAGGUGUUUUGAGUUAAUUAGCUGAUUAGAGGUGUCUUCAAUAUUGAACCUUUCCACAAUAUUCUAAUUUUCAGAGAUACCAAAUUUGGGAUUUUUGUUAGUAUUCAGGUAUAAUCAUCAAAGUUAAGAGAAAUAAACAUUUGAAAUAUGUCAGUCUGUGUAAUGAAUGAGUAUAAUAUACAAGUUUCACUUUUUGAAUGGAAUUACUGAAAUAAUGAACAACUUUUUUCAUGAUAUUCUAAUUAUAUGACCAGCACCUGUAGUUGUAUAUAGUUUUACUUUUAGCCCUCCACUGUAGCAGAAGCCCACCACAGUUUGUACUUUGCACAUUGUAAAUAGUUCUGAUUUUGCUGCUGACUAAUAAACUAUUUUGUGACUUAUGUGAUUGCAUCAUAACUUCUCAUUUUGUCUGUUAAGACACUGGUAGGAAAAGAGUCAACAGUCUGAACC
ensembl:lncRNA